rnacentral:rRNA from 1 species
UCGGAAACGGAUGCUAAUACCGCAUAGGUCUUUGAGACGCCUGUCUCUUAGAUGAAAGGUGGCUUCGGCUGCCGCUUAUGGAUGGACCCGCGGCGUAUUAGCUAGUUGGUGAGGUAAUGGCUCACCAAGGCUGUGAUACGUAGCCGACCUGAGAGGGUGAUCGGCCACACUGGGACUGAGACACGGCCCAGACUCCUACGGGAGGCAGCAGUAGGGAAUCUUCCACAAUGGGUGAAAACCUGAUGGAGCAAUACCGCGUGAGUGAAGAAGGUCUUCGGAUCGUAAAGCUCUGUUGUUAGAGAAGAACAAGUCGGGUAGUAACUGCCCCGGCCUUGACGGUAUCUAACCAGAAAGUCACGGCUAACUACGUGCCAGCAGCCGCGGUAAUACGUAGGUGACAAGCGUUGUCCGGAUUUAUUGGGCGUAAAGCGAGCGCAGGCGGUCUUUUAAGUCUGAUGUGAAAGCCCACGGCUCAACCGUGGAGGGUCAUUGGAAACUGGAAGACUUGAAUGCAGAAGAGGAAAGUGGAAUUCCAUGUGUAGCGGUGAAAUGCGUAGAUAUAUGGAGGAACACCAGUGGCGAAGGCGACUUUCUGGUCUGUAAUUGACGCUGAGGCUCGAAAGCGUGGGGAGCGAACAGGAUU